AUUGAACGCUGGCGGCAUGCCUUACACAUGCAAGUCGAACGGCAGCACGGGAGCAAUCCUGGUGGCGAGUGGCGAACGGGUGAGUAAUACAUCGGAACGUGGCCAGUAGUGGGGGAUAGCCCGGCGAAAGCCGGAUUAAUACCGCAUACGACCUGAGGGUGAAAGCGGGGGAUCGCAAGACCUCGCGGUAUUGGAGCGGCCGAUGUCGGAUUAGCUAGUUGGUGGGGUAAAGGCUCACCAAGGCAACGAUCCGUAGCUGGUCUGAGAGGACGACCAGCCACACUGGGACUGAGACACGGCCCAGACUCCUACGGGAGGCAGCAGUGGGGAAUUUUGGACAAUGGGCGCAAGCCUGAUCCAGCCAUGCCGCGUGCGGGAAGAAGGCCUUCGGGUUGUAAACCGCUAUUGUCAGGGAAGAAACGCGCUGGGUUAAUACCUUGGCGUAAUGACGGUACCUGAAGAAUAAGCACCGGCUAACUACGUGCCAGCAGCCGCAGUAAAAC
rnacentral:rRNA from 1 species